AUUGAACGCUGGCGGAAUGCUUUACACAUGCAAGUCGAACGGUAGAGGGGGCAACCCCUUGAGAGUGGCGAACGGGUGAGUAAUAUAUCGGAACGUGCCCAGUCGUGGGGAUAACGUAGCGAAAGUUACGCUAAUACCGCAUACGAUCUAAGGAUGAAAGCGGGGGACUCGCAAGAGCCUCGCGCGAUUGGAGCGGCCGAUAUCAGAUUAGGUAGUUGGUGGGGUAAAGGCUCACCAAGCCAACGAUCUGUAGCUGGUCUGAGAGGACGACCAGCCACACUGGAACUGAGACACGGUCCAGACUCCUACGGGAGGCAGCAGUGGGGAAUUUUGGACAAUGGGGGCAACCCUGAUCCAGCAAUGCCGCGUGAGUGAAGAAGG
rnacentral:rRNA from 1 species